UGUUAUAUAUGCACCUUAUCAAGUAAUUUGUUUGUUUUUACACCUUAUACAUACAAAUAUAUAUCUGAGGGUUACCUUGCAUUGCAUACAAAUAUAUACAAUUUCUACAUGUUUUCCUUCUGCUUGCUUAAAGCCUUAAAGCACCCAAGAAGUCAAUAUAAUUGGAAAAAUAUUUCCAUAUAUAAUGGUAAAUUUCUCUUCUCUCUUACAACUUCAGGCACCCAUUUUCCUUAACUUCAGGACCAGAAGAUGACUUCCAAAGAGUGCACAUAAGAAUUCUUGGAGAGUGGAGCUAUGAAAUAUAUAGUCUUUGCCAAGAGGUAAAAACUGGGAGAAACUGGAUGCAGACUACCAAACCUUAAAUUUAGCUGGAAAACUAUCAAAUCCCUCCGAAAAUUUCAUAUCUUCUCAAGUUUUGCAGGCGGCGUCAUAUGGGGUAAAGGAGCAUCCUAAAAUAUGCAUAGAUGGACCUUAUGGAGCUGCCUCCCAAGACCAUAUCAAGUAUGAUAUAGUUCUUCUAAUUGGCCUGGGAAUAGAAGCUACACCUUUCAUUAGCAUCCUCAAAGACAUUGUUAAUUUUAUCCAAAAUGCUUGCUGCAAUAAUGUAAGAUCCUUGUCUUUACAAUCCUUCCUCUAUGUCUGAAGUUUGGAAUCCAGUAAAAUGAGAAAGGAAAAAACAAACCGAGAUCCUGACAUUUUUAACCAUGCUACAAUAAAGUUUUUCCUUUUUAUUAUUUGAUUCUCUUCAACAAGACAAUGAAAAUUGCUGUCUUGGUAAUUUUCUGUUGUCCGAACCCAACCUUCAUGUCCUUUCUGGGAUUGAAGUUGUUUUUCUGAUGAACUUACUAAUACUUGCAGUUGCUUUUCUAAUAUUCUUUUUCAACAUCAACACUUACUUUAGUGUACUAAAAAAAACAGAGUAGUUGCAGAGAUUGCAGCAUUUGAAAAUGUCCAUUAAAAGCUUACCUUUACUGGGUUACAAGGGAACAAAACUCCUUUGAUUUGAUUGGUUUAGAGAUGAAAUGAAGGGAAUAUCAAACUCAGACCAAAAAGAGGUAUUAAACAGAAGACAACAAUAUUUAACCUUAUGUUCAUGAUUUUGCAAUCUAUAAAUCCUCCAAACAUUCCAACUAGUGUCUCUGGCAAUUUUUGCAGUCUGCUAUAGAGGUUCAGAGGAGACGCACGAUCGGCUUUGAUCAGCGCUAUUCAAGCCUUGUAUCAUGCCAAACAUAGCAUUGAUAUCGUCUCUUGCACACCUGUACGCACACAUUUUGCCAGACCAAAUUGGUUCAGCAUCUUCUCAAAAUUGGCUUGUAGACAUAGAGGAACAAAAACUGGGGUAUUCUACUGUGGCCCACCAGCAUUAGCAAAACAGUUUGAGAGAUUUUGUAUCAAAUUCUCUACCAAAACCUCUACUAGAUUUGAAUUUCACAAGGAAUAUUACUAGAUUUUUCUCCAGGUGUUUAUGUUGUUACCAGUUCCAUAACUGGUUUUUGAAGGUGCCUAACAGUCACAGAGGUUUAAAUUAAUUGUAUAUAAACAAUAUAAUAAGGUUUAGCGCUAUUCCAUGCUUUGGAAGUAAGUUUUAAUAUUCUAACCUACUCAACAAGAACACUUUAAUAUUCUAACCUAACAAUAAUAUAAAAGUGCUUUUGACCAAAACUAACCACAAUUUCGUGCCUUGGCAUGUAAAGUUUCAACUUAUUACAGUUAAAUUGCUACUAUACAUAUGAAAAUGGCUGGAAGAUAGAUUAUCAUUUGAGUCAUAACCGAGAACUCAACCGUGCCGAAAACUCCCCUUGUAAUAAAAGAUGGAAGGACAAUAACGCCCACAUUUUUUUCCUACAGCAUUGAAACUGGGUACAUUUGUAUCCGUUCUUGGCUAAAGUUGGGACUGGAGAAUCAAACCAGGGAUUAUUAUAUGUAGCUUAGCCACUGUUGCGUUCAUGUAAAAGAUCUGCUGUGCUUUCUUUGCUCAAUUACUAAGACAGAACACAGUUGCACUUCUCUUUUCACGAAGACAAAAUAUGGUUUGACCUCUUCAUUUAGGGCACCUUAAUUGAAGUAUCAAAUCUAAGUUCAGUACAAUUUCGCCCUCCAACAACAUUCUUUCCUUCCCCACCCGUAACACAAAUUUGUCCUGGUGAUGAAAACAGAUACAUGCACCAUCCCUAUAUCCCUAUGGACACUCCUUUUCAGCUACUAGUGAUUCCAUAAUUUUAAAACGUGCUCAAAAAAGAGAUUAUUGACAUUCGAUUGAUCUUAAGUCUUUUAAUUCCGAAGAAAAUAAGCCAUCUUACCAAAUUAUACAAAAGCCUCGAGAUGUUUGAGAUGAAUUUUAUAUGCAGAAAUACGAAGAAAAAGAAUCCCAAAAUCAAUUGAAACCAUGUUCACAAUAUUUUUUAUCCCAGAAACUAAGUUCAGUUCUGGCACAAUUAUUAGAGAUAAACCCCCUCGAAAGGUAGCACCAUAAACACAAAUAAAGCCUCUGCUAUAACCUUAUUUCAUCACCGUCAGAUGAAAGACCUGUGGAUCUCAUGUUCAACCC